GAUCCUGGUUCAGGAUGAACGCUAGCGGCAGGCCUAACACAUGCAAGUCGAGGGGCAUCACGAGGUAGCAAUACUUUGGUGGCGACCGGCGCACGGGUGCGUAACGCGUAUGUAACCUACCUAUAACAGGGGCAUAACACUGAGAAAUUGGUACUAAUUCCCCAUAAUAUUCGGAGAGGCAUCUCUCCGGGUUGAAAACUCCGGUGGUUAUAGAUGGACAUGCGUUGUAUUAGCUAGUUGGUGAGGUAACGG
rnacentral:rRNA from 1 species